CAAUUUCCUACUCAGCAACACAAGUUCAAAGAGAAAGAAAAGGGCAAAAGGGCAUGUUUAUUACACCUCCUGAGCAUUAUGACACCCGAGCUAGAGCCUGCUGUUCCCAUGGGCUCCCAGCAUGACCUCCCGGCUUCCACUUGGAGGGCGGGCUGGGUUCUAGGCUCCUACCUCAGCUUCAACCAGCUCAGCUCUGCCUAUUCUGUUGGACGGACUUAGGUUCUGUUUAACAUUUUUCCUAAAACAAGGAGUCUUUGCCUGAACAGAUUUAGAAACCCCUAUAUUCACCUUCAGCCAGACCUCCCUAGGAUAGGGAAGAAAUCACCUUGAGGGCAUCAUGACUUUCCACUGAAGUUCUGUUUAGAAUUUUGGACAUAAUUCAAAGAAAAUUAGCAUCAGCAGGCCCCAAGAGUUCUACCUAAACACCUGAAGCCACUGUUCCUCUCAAGCCUGAGCUACUGGACCGGGGGAAUAUGAACAACAGUCAGGAAACAAGUGUGAAGAAUCGGGUCUCACUAUAUUGCCCAGACUGGUGUUGAACUCCUGGGCUCAAGCAAUCCUCCUGCCUCAGCCUCCAGAGUAGCUGGGAUUAUGGGUGUGCGCCACCAUGCUUGUACUUACUGAUAUUUUGUUUUGUGAGCUAAGCUAGACUUCCAAAAUCUAGAUCAAAGGAGAUUUCAUCCUUCUGGAAUUCAUGCUACUGUAUUUUCCUCUGUGGUGUGAGUGAGGCAUGCAACUUUGUUUUCUUGUUCCCCGAGAGCCAGUUGUGCUGCGUCAUGUAAGUCCCACCCAGGCCAUCCAACAUCACCUCAAAAUGCUUCCAUCAGUAAGUCUUGCUUCCUCCCUAUCUUUUUCUUCACCUCCUUUUUGUUCUUCCUUUUUAAAUUAGAAUGUGAACACUAAGGUGGAAGGAACAUCAUCUUCAGGCCCCAGAGCUCCCUACAGCCUGACACCAGCUGCUUUACACACUUCCUAGCCCUGACAGCACCUGACUCCGUGACCCAUGAAAUAAACCACCCCUUUCCUACCUCUGUUGUCUGCUAGGUAUACAUCUAUCCUUAGGUUUGUUUCUGGACUCUGCAGCUCCCUGCUACUCAAAGUGUGCUCCUCAGACAAGCAGCAUCAUCCAGCUCUCAUUGGAAAUGCAAAAUUUUGGGUCCCAUCCCAGACUUCCUGAACCAGAACCUGCACUUCAGCCAGGUCCCCAGUGGACAUGCCUGCACAAUAAACUUGGAGAAGCCCAACUCUGGUCUAUAACAUUUUUUUUUUUUCUUUUUUUUGAGACACAGUCUCACUCUGUCUCCCAGGCUGGAGUACAGUGGCAUGACCUCAGCUCACUGCAACCUCCGCCUACCGGGUUCAACCCAGCCAAACCGCGCCCAGCCAAACACUACUUUUAAAUGGCUCAGAUCAGCCAGGCACAGUGGCCCCGGCCUGUAAACCCAGCACUUUGGGAGGCCGAGGCAGGCAAAUCACUUGAGGUCAGGAGUUCAAGACCAGCCUGGCCAACAUGGUGACACUCCAUCUCUACUAAAAAUACAAAAAAUUAGCUGGGCGUGGUGGCGCACACCUGUAGUCCCAGCUACUCAGGAGGCUGAGGCAGGAGAAUCGCCUCAACACAGGAGACUGAGCUGCGAUCACACCACUGCACUCCAGCCUGGGUGA